UACGUAGGGUGCGAGCGUUGUCCGGAAUUAUUGGGCGUAAAGGGCUCGUAGGCGGUUUGUUGCGUCGGGAGUGAAAACACUGGGCUUAACCGAGUGCUUGCUUUCGAUACGGGCAGACUUGAGGCAUUGAGGGGAGAACGGAAUUCCUGGUGUAGCGGUGAAAUGCGCAGAUAUCAGGAGGAACACCGGUGGCGAAGGCGGUUCUCUGGCAAUGUUCUGACGCUGAGGCAG
rnacentral:rRNA from 1 species